CUCAUCUAAACUGUAAGCUUUUUGUGUAAAUGCCAUGCUAUUUUACAGAUUGUCUUGCUCACACAGCAAAAUUGCAAAUCACUGAACAAUUAACAACAAGGUUCUUUCUUUCCCUGGAGACUCAAUGAUUUUAUGUCUAGUGCUUCAUAAGUUACAAGACACCUGGAAUUAGGUAGUAAGUAUUUUUCUUUCUUUAGUGUGAGUCUAUAAAACCACAGCAGUUUGUAUUUU
rnacentral:lncRNA from 1 species